rnacentral:rRNA from 1 species
CUACGGGAGGCAGCAGUGAGGAAUAUUGGGCAAUGGGGGAAACCCUGACCCAGCAAUGCCGCGUGCGGGAAGACGCCUUUCGGGGUGUAAACCGCUUUUCUGCAUGAAGAGGAAGGACGGUAGUGCAGGAAUAAGUCACGGCUAACUACGUGCCAGCAGCCGCGGUAAUACGGAGGAUCCAAGCGUUAUCCGGAUUUAUUGGGCGUAAAGCGCGCGUAGGCGGCAUGUUAAGUUGGACGUGAAAGCUCCUGGCUCAACUGGGAGAGGACGUACAAAACUGACAAGCUUGAGGGUAGAAGAGGAGAGCAGAAUUCCCGGUGUAGUGGUGGAAUGCGUAGAUAUCGGGAGGAAUACCAGUGGCGAAGGCGGCUCUCUGAUCUAACCCUGACGCUGAGGUGCGAAAGCGUGGGGAGCGAACGGGAUUAGAUACCCCAGUAGUCC